UGAAAUAUCUGCAUGCUUUUCAUUCAAGAGAUAUAGGAUCCUGGACUAGACUUUAUUGAAGAAAGAGGAAAGACAGAUAUUUCUAGAUGUCUUUAGGAAUGGGAGAUACAUGUUGUAAUUGAAGAGUUCAGCUUAGAGGUGAAGUGAUUGAAUAGAAGUUUAAUAAGUUAUAUCCAUUCUGUGAAAAGAUCAGUCACCGAAUUUUUAAUGUAAUUGUUACAAAAAUAGCCAGCUAAAGUCAGAAAAAGACUGCCCCCAAAAGGGGCUUUUAAAAAAAUUAGGAUUGGACUUGCCUAAGUAAAAACACAAUGUAGAUAUCCAACUUAACAACUUUAAGUAGGGAGAAAAAACUAUUGAGAUCCGGGUGAUUUUUUUUUUUUUUUUUCUGUUCCUAUCACAUCUCACUCCCAGUAGGUGUUGCAUUUUUGGAUGAAUCUAAUAGUUUUCCUUUAUUUUCACUUUUCACGAGGUGAGAUUAGAUGUCUGUGUGAAAUGAAUGUUUUACUAUGGUCCUACACAUAAUGUUAAAAUUACAAAGUAAAAUAAUGAGGUACAAGAUAUUUAUUGACACCAAAAUACAUACAAGUAUUUCCGAACAAGAUGAAAAUAUCUCCUGGUUUCUCACACAGAGACCCAUACUACUCGGAAGGCAGGAUAUGCCAGUUUUCCUUUGUGGAAAAGUGUAUCCAGGGAGUGGUAGUUGGUGCUCCAGGUGCUGGCAGGGACAGGACAGCUGAUUGAUAGAAGUGAGGGCUCUAACAAA
rnacentral:lncRNA from 1 species